rnacentral:lncRNA from 1 species
ACUCUAGUAACUAGAGGAAAAGGCAGGGGAAAAGGUAAAUCCAUUCAGUGCCACUGCUGGAACCCACACUUCAGCCUCCCUCCGGAUAGGAUACCAGAGGAGGUCACGCCAACUCUAAGAAACUCUCUCACAAAUAAAUGUCAGAUAGAGCUGGUUCUCCAGCCCCACGGCUGCCUCCAGGAGUCCCUAACCCGCUGUGGUUCCCACCGGUCUCUGAGCAGCGCCGCGCCCUCUCGGCCCCACCCAACACAGAGGGUCCGGUGUCUGCACCCCACUAUCACCGGCGGGCGCCACCUAUCGGGGUGCGGACCCCGCCCAGCCCCACGUGCAGGGCCCCGCCCGGGAGCUAGCGGCCCUUUAAACACCCCCACCCUUGCACACUACCCCCCCCCACCCACCCGGACGGCAGCCGAAGAGGGACAAACUCAUGGCGUACAGCCAGUCUCUUCCGCGGAGCGCGUCCCCCGCAGCCCUGGCCCGCUGGCUUCUCCACCCAGGGCUACGACCCCCUGGCGGUCCCCCCACGCCCCCCGAGGCCGGGGGCAGGAGUGUGGGCGCUGUCCGACCCCGGGGAGGGGCGGGAGGGAGCGCGAUCUCCGCCGCCUGCCUCCGCCUGCCGCUCGGGCCGCCCGCUCGCCCGCCGCUGGGUGCGCUGCACGCGGGGGGCAGCCGCGGUGCAGAGGUUCAUGCAGCGCGGCGGCGGCGGCGGCUGCUGCUGCUGCCGCCGCGGAAACAGACAGACCGGGCGCAGCCGCCGCCACCCUCCCGCAGCUCCAUGCCGCCGCCACCGUCGCCUCCUCUCCGGCGAAGGGCGGGGGGCUCCGGCCCGGGGUGGGCAGCACUCCUCGCGGCGCCGCUCCCCUCCCUGCCCUCCGCCGGGGCGCGGGAGCCGGCGAGAGCGCCCGCCGCCUCCUAGGAGCGCACGCUCCGCGCGCCCUUGCUAGAGCGAGGAGGCGGGCGUGGGCGGGCGUCGGGGCAGCCGCGACCCAGCGCGCGGAAAGGGGAGGGGGCUUCCCCGGAGGAUGCCCCGCGGCGGUGGCUCCUGGUUCUUAG